CCUCUUGUGAAAUUUAUGUCCUUUCAAUUAGUAAUAGUUUCAUAAUCUUUCUUUGAUAUCUCAUUUAUUUUGACACUUAAAAUGUGAACAGAAACAGAUUGAGUUGCUGACAAAAGUGAAGAUGCCACUAUCAGAUUUGGUGAGUGCGGCUCUGGCGCUGGAUCAAUCUAUCUUGGAUGUUGAUCAAGUGGAGAAUCUUAUAAAGUUCUGCCCUACGAAAGUAGAAAUGGAACUUCUCAAGAAUUACACCGGAGACAAGGAAAC